GGGAGGGAACCCUGUUCUUAAUCUUUCAAGUCCUUGCUGAUAUGUAACUAGAAUAUACCCUCCCUACGUUGGACACAACUUAACAGGUGCAGCGUUAGAUUAUAAUACAACAAUUUACAGGGGUUUAGGGCAGGGGAACUCUGGUGUUCUUAAUCUUUCAGAUCCUCGCUGAUCAGUAACUAGGAUUGCCUUUCCUGCACUGGACCCAACUUAGUAGGUAAAGCUUUGGAUUCUAGUACAUAUUUCUCAAAGGGGUUUAGGGCAAGGGAACUCUGGUGUUCUUAAUCUUUCAGGUAUCCAGUCCUCGAUGAUGUGUAACUAGAAAAUGCCUUCCCUACGCUGGACACAACUUAGCAGGUGCAGCAUUAUCUUCCAACAUUUUAAAGGGGUUUAGGGCAGGGGAACUCUUCUUAAUCUUUCAGAUCCUCGCUGAACAGUAGCUGGGCUUCGCCUUCCCUACGCUGGACACCACUUAGCAGGUGCUACAAAUUUUUCAAGGGGUUUAGGCAGGGGAGGGAACUUCUUAAUCUUUCAGGUAUCCAGUCCUCGCUGUGAAAGUGACCCACUUCCCUUACCUACGCCGGACAUUUUGAACAGGUGCUAAAAUAACUAGCAUUUACUAAUCGUUAAAGAAUGAUAAGGUGGGGGGAGUGGUUGUAGUGUUUUAGGUCCCUCGAUCCCUGAUGACACCAGUGAUAGACGCUGCGUUCAGGACCAUUUACACUGCACAUUUGUAAGCUUUCUGUAAGAUUGUUGUUAGCCAAAGUAAAGUAAACUAGCUUGUGUAUCAGUAUUAGUCAGUGAGCAAGGCCAACAAUCUUAGUUAAGGAAAUGCAUCUUUCAGAAGUACAGUUAUAUAUUGUCGGGGAGCUAAUAACACUGCUUUCAUUAACGUCUUGAGGUCUUUCUCUGAACUACAGAGGGUUUUGUUCAGAUGCAGUCUCAUUGAGUGGUGUAUAUGACUAAAUGUGUCUAUGUGAGUGAAUGAAAUGUGUUUCUGGCCCAACUGCUUUUUGCUCAUAAAUUGCUUCGGGUGAGGUGUUUUGUUGGAAUCUUGAGGUUUUGAAGGUUUUCUGUUGCUGAAGAAUACAGUGAGCAUCUGAUUGGUUGAUUUUUUUUUCUGGAAGACUGUACAUGCUUUGUUUAGAUGAUAAAGUUGGCUUUUCUUUUACUGGGAGAACAGUUGCUGUUAUCUCAGGUUUUGCUUUUGCCUUUAUAUAAUUGUGUAUAUAAAAAAAAAAGCAAAAGAUGCUGGUGGUUGGCACUCCUGGUUUCCAGGACGGGGUUCAAAUCCCUGUGGUAUCUCAAUGCUUUGUUAUUGCUCAGGUGAGGCAGAGGGACUGGAAUGGAGUUCCAGAGGGUGGGGGUAGAGUGACAGAAGGUCUGCCCUGCCAAUGGUGAAGCAGGCUGGAGCCCACUGAGCGCAAGGAGCGGGCAGCUUGGUAGGGUGUCAGAAGGUCGCUGGCUGCAAAGUUCUGGAUGAUCUGCAACCUGUAGA